rnacentral:rRNA from 1 species
GACGAACGCUGGCGGCGUGCUUAACACAUGCAAGUCGAACGGAAAGGCCCUGCUUUUGUGGGGUGCUCGAGUGGCGAACGGGUGAGUAACACGUGAGUAACCUGCCCUUGACUUUGGGAUAACUUCAGGAAACUGGGGCUAAUACCGGAUAGGAGCUCCUGCUGCAUGGUGGGCGAUGGAAAGUUUCGGCGGUUGGGGAUGGAGUCGGGGCGGAUCAGCUUGUUGGUGGGGUAAUGGCUUACCAAGGCGUUGACGGGUAGACGGCGGGAGAGAGGGAUCGGCGACAUGAGAAGUGAGCCAGCGACAAGAGGACUGAGAGAGGGAGCAGACGGGAACGGGAGGCAGCAGGGGGGAAUAUGACACAGUAAGCCGGAGCGUGAGACAGAGGCGUCGGGUGCGGAAUGACGGCCUUCGGGUUGUGAACCGCUUUCGCCUGUUACCAAGCGUGAGUGACGGUAAUGGGUGAAGAAGCACCGGCUAACUACGUG